CAGCACUAAUGCACCGGAUCCCAUUAGAACUCCGUAGUUAAGCAUGCUUGGGCGAGAGUAGUACUAGGAUGGGUGACCUCUUGGGAAGUCCUCAUGUUGCACCCC
rnacentral:rRNA from 1 species